CUCUUAUUUCUUUGGCUUUCUGUCUCCUCCUUCUUUCCUUCGAUAUCCCUUCUCCCUUUUUCCUGCUUCUCUCCUAUUCUCUCUCUUUUUAUUGACAUUUUUGUAUGUUUUCCCUGUUUUAUUCUUUUCCUUUCUCCCACAACUCUCUUCACUUUCUCUUGCUUUAAUUUUUCUUCUCCUUCUCCUCUUUAACAUAUUUCUCCAUUUUAAAGUUAUGAAUGGUAAAUUGUGUAUUGAAGUUGCGACAUGUUGCAUAAAAAAUCAAUACCGAGUUUAUUCAGGUAUUUAUCAAAACAUCAAAAGAACAGCGUUUUGCUUAGGACAAUUUCCCUUUUAUUCUGACUUGAAAAAUUCUACUACAAAAAAGAAAAGAUCAAAUUUUAUUCUUUGCAAAACCAAUUAUAUGCAUAAAGAUUAUAGUUUUAAAAAAAGGAGGUGGAAAUCUAACAAAAGAACAUUCUUCCAUUACCAGCUAAAUUUGAAUACAAUGAAUACUCUAGAAAUAGAACAUCGUUAGAAACCAAAGUUCAUUCAUCUUUUUAAUUAUCUCUCCUCUUUAGUGUCUGUCGAGGAAAACCUCUGUUUGUUUGAUGCAUCAAAUUGUGAUAUUUUUGUAUCAUUAAUUUGUUUAAAAAAGUAGAAAGAAUAAUUAAUCACUAUUGAGAUUAAUUAUAACAGCCUCCCUCAGCUUACUUGUCUUAAUAAAUUAUAAAAAAAUGGAGACACAACAACAAAAGCCAUUUAUAACUUCUAAAGUACUGUCCGUCGGAACAGAUUUUAAGUCUAUAUUGUAACAAACCUUUGACCCAUUAAGACCAUGUAAGCAUAUAUUAUACUCAACAAGGCUUGAAUUACAUUAUCGUGGUGGUAGUUGCUUCAAAGAUGACACAACUACGAGAAAAAAUAAAUAAUUGUGUAGAUGAUGCAUUGUAACAUGGACAUGCUUCCAUUCUGGAUAAUUAUCACAUGUUGAAGAAGAUAAAUACCUAUCAGUUUUUGUCAGGAACUUGAAUCAUCAUAGUUAAUUUCUAAUUGUUAUAUUUCAGUAAAUAAUUUUAAUUUUAACGAGAUUUUUUUAAGUUUCUUAUUGCGUUAUAUUUUAAAAAGAACUUAAAAAAAUUGGAUGGCGUCAGCUCCCUAAACCUGAAUAACGUAUGGCCUCUAACACCUAAACUUCAUUUCAAACCCGCUCAACCAUAUACUGAACGCAGCACCAAACGAACGACAUGAAUUGCUCUUUUUGUUUGUAACUACACGCUCCAGUGCACAACAUUGGCACAAGUUUGCUCAGUAUAACACAAGAAACAGAAGAUGUUUGCACACCACCACAAAGACAGGACGUAAAGAUCACCCGAAGCAUCUCGCUAUCGAAAGUGCUGCUCGCAUUCCGAUUAGAAAAAAAUAUUGAGUGACGUUUUUGCUGUUCAAAAAAGUGAGAAUUCAUUAAUAUGGUUCGCGUAUAUUUGUUAAUGGUUCUUCUCACCGCAUAUACGUGGUGUUUCCUAGCAAACAAAUCACAUGCUGUCAAGAACCCACCCAUUUCAGAUUCCAAGGAAGAUAUUACGGUAAGAGUUAAAUUAUAUUUAGUAUAUUGAAGUUCUGAUUUAAAUGAAGGUUAGUUAAAAAAGGUCCUGUUGAAAGAGACAUUAAAACGUACUAAGGGUCCAUUAAAACAAUCCCAUAAAUAAAAGAAACCGCAUAAAUAAAGUGUAGAAAGUAACUUACCUACAUGUAAGCAUUUUAUGGCAAGAACACUUAAUAAAGAUGACGACAGUGUAUUUUUGUCUCUUUUUUUCAAUUUGACCAUCAUGAUAAUUAUUAUAUAGGUGAAAAUGACCAAAGAAAAUGUCAAGUACUCGCUACGUCAUUGCAAAAUGUUGUUCAGAGAAUGUGAAAGAGACAGUGACUGUGGCUGUUACUCAAUGUUGAAGUGUUCAAAACUGUUCGGUAGAAAACGAUGUGUGUACAGUUAUGGCGUCGAUCCAAUGUAACGUUUCUACCUUCCCAAAUCCUACAAUAUCUGACUAAAUGGAUAACUUCUGUGAAAAUGUGACAAUAUUUUUUAAAAAAAGCAAAUAGUUUAUAUACUUUUUUGGCAAACACUUUGUCUUGAAGAAAAUUUAGAAUCAAAUAUGUAUAA